CGCUAGCUACAGGCUUAACACAUGCAAGUCGAGGGGAAACGACAUCGAAAGCUUGCUUUUGAUGGGCGUCGACCGGCGCACGGGUGAGUAACGCGUAUCCAACCUGCCCACCACUUGGGGAUAACCUUGCGAAAGUAAGACUAAUACCCAAUGAUAUCUCUAGAAGACAUCUGAAAGAGAUUAAAGAUUUAUCGGUGAUGGAUGGGGAUGCGUCUGAUUAGCUUGUUGGCGGGGUAACGGCCCACCAAGGCGACGAUCAGUAGGGGUUCUGAGAGGAAGGUCCCCCACAUUGGAACUGAGACACGGUCCAAACUCCUACGGGAGGCAGCAGUGAGGAAUAUUGGUCAAUGGACGAGAGUCUGAACCAGCCAAGUAGCGUGCAGGAUGACGGCCCUAUGGGUUGUAAACUGCUUUUAUAAGGGAAUAAAGUGAGUCUCGUGAGACUUUUUGCAUGUACCUUAUGAAUAAGGACCGGCUAAUUCCGUGCCAGCAGCCGCGGUAAUACGGAAGGUCCGGGCGUUAUCCGGAUUUAUUGGGUUUAAAGGGAGCGUAGGCCGGAGAUUAAGCGUGUUGUGAAAUGUAGAUGCUCAACAUCUGCACUGCAGCGCGAACUGGUUUCCUUGAGUACGCACAAAGUGGGCGGAAUUCGUGGUGUAGCGGUGAAAUGCUUAGAUAUCACGAAGAACUCCGAUUGCGAAGGCAGCUCACUGGAGCGCAACUGACGCUGAAGCUCGAAAGUGCGGGUAUCGAACAGGAUUAGAUACCCUGGUAGUCCGCACGGUAAACGAUGGAUGCCCGCUGUUGGUCUGAAUAGGUCAGCGGCC
rnacentral:rRNA from 1 species